GUGCCAGCCGCCGCGGUAAGACGAACCACACAAACGUUAUUCGGAAUUACUGGGCUUAAAGGGUGCGUAGGCUGCGCAGAAAGUUGGGUGUGAAAUCCCUCGGCUUAACCGAGGAACUGCGCCCAAAACUACUGUGCUCGAGGAAGAUAGAGGUAAGCGGAACUUACGGUGGAGCGGUGAAAUGCGUUGAUAUCGUAAGGAACACCUGUGGCGAAAGCGGCUUACUGGGUCUUUUCUGACGCUGAUGCACGAAAGCUAGGGGAGCAAACGGGAUUAGAUACCCCGGUAGUCC
rnacentral:rRNA from 1 species